rnacentral:rRNA from 1 species
GACGAACGCUGGCGGCGUGCUUAACACAUGCAAGUCGAACGGAGUUGCAGGAGAGCUUGCUUGAAUGCAACUUAGUGGCGAACGGGUGAGUAACGCGUGAGUAACCUGUCUCAUACAGGGGGAUAACGCAUCGAAAGGUGUGCUAAUACCGCAUAAGACCACAGAGCCGCAUGGUUCAGGGUCAAAGGAGUAAUCCGGUAUGAGGUGGACUCGCGUCUGAUUAGAUAGUUGGUGAGGUAACGGCUCACCAAGUCGACGAUCGGUAGCCGACCUGAGAGGGUGAUCGGCCACAUUGGGACUGAGACACGGCCCAGACUCCUACGGGAGGCAGCAGUGGGGAAUAUUGGGGCAAUGGGCGCAAGCCUGACCCAGCAACGCCGCGUGAGGGAAGAAGGUUUUCGGAUGUAAACUUCAACAAUCAGGGACGAAGAAAGUGACGGUACCUGACUGAAGCCACGGCUAACUACGUG